rnacentral:misc_RNA from 1 species
CCCGGGCUGGUUUUGCCGCUGCUGUCAGUAAGGGUGCUUCGCAGCUUGCGAAUAAAAAAUUCCGUUUAUCUCCGGUAACCGGAGCACGGGUGGCUCACAAGGCGUAGGUUCUCUAGCUCGUGUAGUGGCACCCGGCUACGGGGUACGCGUACAACUCGCGUGCUCUGUGCCUUGUGCUGCCCACGAAACCCCAGGUAGGGUGCGGUGACGGGAGCGCCCGCGUCGUGUUCCGCUUUUAUUUUACAAACCCAGUUGGCUUACGGGAGUACUAUCCAUGCGUUGUGUCCUUUGGUUGAAGCCGCUUCGGUUCGUGCUUGAACCCGGUGCUGACUUAUCAGCACGUCCCGUGUAGCAGUGACGGACUCGUCCCUAGGUUGAACGGGUAUGUGCGGUUC